UACGUAGGCAGCGAGCGUUGUUCGGAGUUACUGGGCGUAAAGGGUGUGUAGGCGGUUCUUUUAGUUUGGUGUGAAAUCUCCCGGCUUAACCGGGAGGGUGCGCCGAAUACUGAGGGACUAGAGUACGGGAGAGGAAAGUGGAAUUCCUGGUGUAGCGGUGAAAUGCGUAGAUAUCAGGAGGAACACCGGUGGUGUAGACGGCUUUCUGGACCGUAACUGACGCUGAGACACGAAAGCGUGGGUAGCAAACAGG
rnacentral:rRNA from 1 species